rnacentral:snRNA from 1 species
GUACUUGCUUAGACAGCACAUGUACUGAAAUCAGAUGAUGGAGAGAAGAUUAGCGUGGCCCUAAACGAGGAUGAUAUGCAGAUUCAUGGAUCUUUCCAUCUUUUU